ACGAUAUUCAAAAAGUACAUACCUCAAAGAAAACGAUGACGCGAGUUAUCGUCUCUAACGUUCGAGGACUACAAAAAACACUCGGAUUGUAGGCAACAGUUUACUUCCUGGGAUUAGUGACGUAGAUAAGACCAACAUUAUCAUAGUUCAGCCCUCUCUGCUUUGCUUGGGUACGCCCUCAAAGACAAGGGUGGGGAGCGCCGAGUCAGAAGAGAGCUAAAAUGGCGGAGGUUGUGAGUCCCUGCUUUGACUCUGUUUGCAAACUCUUGUUUCAUUGUUUAAGCGAUUAAAUCUCUCGAGUAGACGCUGUCUCUUUAGAUGCGAGGGCAAAAUAGCACUUUAUGGACUUCCACAGAGGACAUCAUGUUUAAUACGGUUCCGGAAAAAUCCAGUCAGAAGUUGUUCACGGAGUUUUCACAAUAACUGCUUCUCAUGAACCGAAGCUGGAUUUGCACGACGUCUCCUCUUGAAAGUUGGAUUACUGUGCACUUCUGGAUCACAGGCUAUUCGCAGCUGGACACAUCCUUCUACACUGUAUGCAAACAUGCAACAUCAUUACACACAGUACAAGGAGUCAGACUGGCAUAUGAGGAGCACAGGAACCCAGGCAGUAGCGUCGUUUCACAAUGUUUCCAUCACCAUCAUCAGUGGAUGCCUUUGCCGUCCGUAGCCUGAGAUUUCAGAUUUGCAGCAAAAAAUUUUUUGAUUUUCUCAUUUAU